UACGUAGGGUGCAAGCGUUAAUCGGAAUUACUGGGCGUAAAGCGUGCGCAGGCGGUUGUGCAAGACAGAUGUGAAAUCCCCGGGCUCAACCUGGGAACUGCAUUUGUGACUGCACGGCUAGAGUGUGUCAGAGGGGGGUAGAAUUCCACGUGUAGCAGUGAAAUGCGUAGAGAUGUGGAGGAAUACCGAUGGCGAAGGCAGCCUCCUGGGCCAACACUGACGCUCAUGCACGAAAGCGUGGGGAGCAAACAGG
rnacentral:rRNA from 1 species